rnacentral:piRNA from 1 species
ACGAUAAGAGAGUUUGACUUUAGA